CCAGAGACUAGAGUCUCACCCCGACCCCCCCCUGGUCCUGGUGUGCUAAAGUUCUCUCAGAUCAAAGAUCCUGGUCCUGUUCCCCGGCUGGACCUUGUGGUCCAGCCGCCCACUGCGUCAGUCACAGAC